GACAGAGGGUGCAAACGUUGUUCGGAAUUACUGGGCGUAAAGCGCGUGUAGGCUGCUUGGAAAGUCGGAUGUGAAAGCCCUGGGCUCAACCUAGGAAGUGCAUUCGAAACUUCCAGCUGGAGUGCUGGAGAGGAAGGCGGAAUUCUCGGUGUAGAGGUGAAAUUCGUAGAUAUCGAGAGGAACACCGGUGGCGAAGGCGGCCUUCUGGACAGUAACUGACGCUGGAGAACGCGAAAGCGUGGGGAGCAAACAGG
rnacentral:rRNA from 1 species